rnacentral:rRNA from 1 species
GUAGGUGGCAAGCGUUGUCCGGAAUUAUUGGGCGUAAAGCGCGCGCAGGCGGGUUCUUUAAGUCUGACGUGAAAGCCCACGGGCUCAACCGUGGAGGGUCAUUGGAAACUGGAGAACUUGAGUACAGAAGAGGAAAGCGGAAUUCCACGUGUAGCGGUGAAAUGCGUAGAGAUGUGGAGGAACACCAGUGGCGAAGGCGGCUUUCUGGUCUGUAACUGACGCUGAGGCGCGAAAGCGUGGGGAGCAAACAGGAUUAGAUACCCUGGUAGUCCACGCCGUAAACGAUGAGUGCUAAGUGUUAGGGGGUUUCCGCCCCUUAGUGCUGCAGCUAACGCAUUAAGCACUCCGCCUGGGGAGUACGGCCGCAAAGGCUG